rnacentral:rRNA from 1 species
ACGUAGGGGCCAAGCGUUGUCCGGAAUUACUGGGCGUAAAGCGUGGGUAGGUGGUCGAUGAUGUGCCGCGUGAAAGCGCCGGAGUAAUGCCGGCGAGGUCGCGGUAGACACGUUGACUAGAGGCUCGCAGAGGAACGUGGAAUUCCCGGUGUAGUGGUGAAAUGCGUAGAUAUCGGGAGGAACACCAGUGGCGCAAGCGGCGUUCUGGGCGAGACCUGACACUGAGCCACGACGGCGUGGGGAGCAAACAGGAUUAGAUACCCUGGUAGUCCACGCAGUAAACGAUGCAUACCAGGUGUGGGAUGGCGUUCGCGUCGUUCCGUGCCGCAGCUUACGCGAUGAGUAUGCCGCCUGGGGACUACGAGCGCAAGCUUA